GACGAACGCUGGCGGCGUGCCUAAUACAUGCAAGUAGGACGCAGUUGCGAACGGGUGAGUAACGCGUAGGUAACUGCCUAUUAGAGGGGGAUAACUAUUGGAAACGAUAGCUAAUACCGCAUACUAGUAGAUGGACCUGCGUUGUAUUAGCUAGUAGGUAGGGUAAUGGCCUACCUAGGCGACGAUACAUAGCCGACCUGGGGAGGUGAACGGCCACACUGGGACUGGGGCACGGCCCAGGCUCCUACGGGAGGGAGCAGUAGGGGAACAUCGGCAAUGGGGGGAACCCUGGCCGAGCAACGGCGCGGGAGUGGAGGAGGUUUUCGGGGCGUAAAGCUCUGUUGUUAAGGAAGCGGUACUUAACCAGAAAGGGACGGCUAACUACGUGCCAGCAGCCGCGGUAAUUC
rnacentral:rRNA from 1 species